rnacentral:rRNA from 1 species
AGCUUCCGAACCGGUUAAGCACAGAGUUUUUUUUCUCUUGGGGCGAGAGACGGACGAGCGAAAAAUAUGAGGGACCUGGGCGAGGGGGAGGGAUUUCUCUAGUGGACGCUAGCGAAGACUACGUAUCACGGCCUCAGAAAGGGUGGGACAUUCUCGGCUCUCACACACGAGUAUGCGCCGAUGUGGUUAGAUGGUGUGGGGGGGGCUGGGUCACCCCUGGAACACUACCUGGUUGGGGUGAAAGAAUAAGCACACUCACUCUGACACAGAGACACGACUCAUACUUCUGGGAGGAGUAGGUGAGGGAUAUAUUUCACUGUGCGCCCGCCCCAGACACGCCUGUGGCGUGUAUAAGGAAUGCGUCUUGGGUUUGACUUAUAUUUUGCGGGGAGGAAAGGGAAGAGAUAAUUAACCCUUUCCAUAUUCCCGACCCCCUCAAAACACGCUCCCUCUGUCCCCGCGCCCACCCCCGCUAAAACGGAGGGGGCGAAAGUUAUUAUUACUUUUUGUGGGCAUAGCGCGCACCCGCGGUCUGUGUCGAUCAUAUGUAAAAUCCGGGCUCUGCUCUGAACAGUGCUUGAGACGAGCUACACGAGACUCUUGGUGAGGGAAUACCUCCGGUGUGGAGCGGUGAUGUGUAUAGAUCUCUGGAACAAUUCGCGAUGCAAACGCCCCCCUCUGCAAAAAACUGUGGAGCACAUGAGC